AUCUUUAAAAAAGAAAUGACAAGACAUAGACUCUGUAAGUAUCAGAGAAUAAUAAGUAAAAGAGCAGGGACUAGAACCAGGUCUUCUGGUUUCCAGUCACGUGCUCUUUUUAUUAUGCCCUCUGCC